rnacentral:sRNA from 1 species
GCUGGGCAAGGUGGCGCAUGCCUGUAGCCCCAGCAGCUUGGGAGGCUGAGGUAGGAGGAUUGUGAGUUCAAAGCCAGCCUCAGCAAUGCAGCGAGGCACUUAGAAACUAAGACCCUGUCUUUA